AUGUGGCCCUUAUACUUAGAUGUGUCUGACAGAUACAACGUGGGGAGGGAGGUCUAUGGUUGCAGCUGGUCUAGGGUAAGUAUUUGCAGGGCGACACCUUCUUGCUUGUGA
rnacentral:rRNA from 1 species